rnacentral:rRNA from 1 species
UACGUAGGGUGCAAGCGUUGUCCGGAAUUAUUGGGCGUAAAGAGCUCGUAGGCGGUCUGUCGCGUCUGCUGUGAAAACCUAGGGCUUAACUCUGGGCGUGCAGUGGGUACGGGCAGGCUAGAGUGCGGUAGGGGAGACUGGAAUUCCUGGUGUAGCGGUGAAAUGCGCAGAUAUCAGGAGGAACACCGGUGGCGAAGGCGGGUCGCUGGGCCGUAACUGACGCUGAGGAGCGAAAGCGUGGGGAGCGAACAGG